rnacentral:rRNA from 1 species
GACGAACGCUGGCGGCGUGCUUAACACAUGCAAGUCGAACGGAAAGGCCCUGCUUUUGUGGGGUGCUCGAGUGGCGAACGGGUGAGUAACACGUGAGUAACCUGCCCUUGACUUUGGGAUAACUUCAGGAAACUGGGGCUAAUACCGGAUAGGAGCUCCUGCUGCAUGGUGGGGGUUGGAAAGUUUCGGCGGUUGGGGAUGGACUCGCGGCUUAUCAGCUUGUUGGUGGGGUAGUGGCUUACCAAGGCUUUGACGGGUAGCCGGCCUGAGAGGGUGACCGGCCACAUGGGGACUGGGUUACGGCCCAGACUCCUACGGGAGGCAGCAGUGGGGAAUAUGGCACAAGGGGCGGAAGCCUGAUGCAGCAACGCCGCGUGCGGGAUGACGGCCUUCGGGUUGUAAACCGCUUUCGCCUGUGACGAAGCGUGAGUGACGGUAAUGGGUAAAGAAGCACCGGCUAACUACGU